GAUCAUGGCUCAGGAUGAACGCUGGCGGCGUGCCUAACACAUGCAAGUCGAGCGAAGCACUUUGCUUAGAUUCUUCGGAUGAAGAGGAUUGUGACUGAGCGGGCGACGGGUGAGUAACCGCGUGGGUAACCUGCCUCAUACAGGGGGAUAACAGUUAGAAAUGACUGCUAAUACCGCAUAAGACCACAGCACCGCAUGGUGCGGGGGUAAAAACUCCGGUGGU
rnacentral:rRNA from 1 species